rnacentral:rRNA from 1 species
UACGUAGGUGGCAAGCGUUGUCCGGAAUUAUUGGGCGUAAAGCGCGCGCAGGCGGUCCUUUAAGUCUGAUGUGAAAGCCCACGGCUCAACCGUGGAGGGUCAUUGGAAACUGGAGGACUUGAGUACAGAAGAGGAAAGCGGAAUUCCACGUGUAGCGGUGAAAUGCGUAGAUAUCUGGAGGAACACCGGUGGCGAAGGCGGCAUCCUGGACCAACACUGACGCUGAGGAGCGAAAGCCAGGGGAGCAAACGGG